AAUGAACUCAUGUGAAAGUCAUGAUUAGACCCAUCCAGAGACAUACUACGUUACUAAUCUCUCAAUAGCAUUGAGAGAUUUUCUUGCUUCUUUAAGUGUCAACAUUUCUGAAGUUUACCACCAUCUGCUGCUCUGUAAAAGCGCUUUUCCACCAAUUGCAAACAGGGGCGUAGGAACCGGCCGGGGGGGGGAAGACAAAUUAGCCCCAACCUUUUUCUCAAAGUACCCUUUUUUUCAGAUAAAACAAACGUCCCUUACGACCAAGUGUCCCUUCAACUCCAC